rnacentral:rRNA from 1 species
GAUGAACGCUGGCGGCGUGCCUAAUACAUGCAAGUCGAGCGAACAGACGAGGAGCUUGCUCCUUCGACGUUAGCGGCGGACGGGUGAGUAACACGUAGGUAACCUACCUAUAAGACUGGGAUAACUUCGGGAAACCGGAGCUAAUACCGGAUAAUAUUUCGAACCGCAUGGUUCGAUAGUGAAAGAUGGCUUUGCUAUCACUUAUAGAUGGACCUGCGCCGUAUUAGCUAGUUGGUAAGGUAACGGCUUACCAAGGCAACGAUACGUAGCCGACCUGAGAGGGUGAUCGGCCACACUGGAACUGAGACACGGUCCAGACUCCUACGGGAGGCAGCAGUAGGGAAUCUUCCGCAAUGGGCGAAAGCCUGACGGAGCAACGCCGCGUGAGUGAUGAAGGUCUUCGGAUCGUAAAACUCUGUUUUUAGGGAAGAACAAACGUGUAAGUAACUGUGCACGUCUUGACGGUACCUAAUCAGAAAGCCACGGCUAACUACGUG